CAUUACUCCCACUCUCUUCUAACCAGAACCAUCUUCAUAAAAACAAAUUCGCAACUGAGAUAUAAAUUUCUUUUCUCUUUGUUCAUUCAUAUUCAAGAGUGCAGAGAGAUGAAAUGCUGCACAGAUUCAUUAGCAAGACCUGGAAG
rnacentral:lncRNA from 14 species